AUGGAGUCGCUGAAGCAGCAUCUACAUCGGGCCAGGCAGAUUAUGAAAGACAAGGCGGACAAGAAACGAUCUGAUCGCACCUUUGCGGUUGGCGAUUGGGUCUAUCUCAAACUGCAGCCCUAUGCCCAGUCUUCCGUCGCCGCCCGAGCUAACCACAAGUUGGCUUUUCGUUACUUCGGUCCAUUUCAGGUACCGGGACGCGUUGGAGAGGUGGCAUAUCGGCUGGACUUGCCGGAACGUGCAAAAUUCCACCCGUUCAUCCAUGUGUCUCAGCUGCGAGCAGACGUGCCACCAUCUACGCCGAUUCUGCCGGAAUUACCAUUACUCGAUGAAGAUCUGCUGCCAUUCCAAGUUCCGGCAAGCAUCCUGAAGCGGCGCAUCGUCACACGGGGCGUCAAGCAAAUCGCGCAAGUCCAAGUGCAAUGGUCUGGGUUCCCUCUCACGCUGGCGACCUGGGAAGAUGAAGAAGCACUCAGAACAAGAUUUCCGCGAGCGUUGGCUUGGGGCCUAGGACUAUAUCAUGUUUCAAGCAUAUAG
rnacentral:rRNA from 1 species